AGAAUCAACGCUGGCGGCGUGCCUAACACAUGCAAGUCGAACGAGAAAGUGGAGCAAUCCAUGAGUACAGUGGCGCACGGGUGAGUAACACGUGACUAACCUACCCUCGAGUGGGGAAUAACCUCGGGAAACCGGGCUAAUACCGCAUAACAUCCACGGAUCAAAUGCGUAAGCAGCUUGAGGAGGGGGUCGCGGCUGAUUAGCUAGUUGGCGGGGUAAUGGCCCACCAAGGCAGUGAUCAGUA
rnacentral:rRNA from 1 species